AUUCCAGCUCCAAUAGCAUAUAUUAAAGUUGUUGCAGUUAAAAAGCUCGUAGUUGGAUUUCUGGCAUGAUGCGCCUGGCCCGCCGUGAUUACGCGUGUGUGUGCUAGUGCGCGUCUGCCAUCCAUUGGCAGAAUAUGUCUACCCUUAAUUGGGCCGGAUAUGUGAUGUCAAUCUUUUACUUUGAAAAAAUCAGAGUGUUUAAAGCAGGCAUUUGCUAUGAAUACAUUAGCAUGGAAUAAUAAUCUAGGACUUCGGUUCUAUUUUGUUGGUUUCUAGAUCUGGAGUAAUGAUUGAUAGGGAUAGUUGGGGGUGCUAGUAUUAAGGGGCCAGAGGUGAAAUUCUUGGAUUCUCUUAAGACUAACUUAUGCGAAAGCAUUCACCAAGGAUGUCUUCAUCA
rnacentral:rRNA from 1 species